rnacentral:rRNA from 1 species
GAUGAACGCUAGCGGGAGGCCUAACACAUGCAAGCCGAGCGGGAUUUGUUGGUUAGCUUGCUAACUAACAAUGAGAGCGGCGUACGGGUGCGUAGCACGUGUGCAACCUGCCUUUAUCUGGGGGAUAGCCUUUCGAAAGGAAGAUUAAUACCCCAUAACAUAUUGAUUGGCAUCAGUUAAUAUUGAAAGCUCCGGCGGAUAGAGAUGGGCACGCGUAAGAUUAGCUAGUUGGUGAGGUAACGGCUCACCAAGGCUGCGAUCUUUAGGGGGCCUGAGAGGGUGAUCCCCCACACUGGUACUGAGACACGGACCAGACUCCUACGGGAGGCAGCAGUGAGGAAUAUUGGACAAUGGGUGAGAGCCUGAUCCAGCCAUCCCGCGUGAAGGACUAAGGACCUGUGGUUUGUAAACUUCUUUUAUACAGGGAUAAACCUACUCUCGUGAGGGUAGCUGAAGGUACUGUAUGAAUAAGCACCGGCUAACUCCGUG